AAUAAUUGAAUGUCUACUAUCAAUUAAAAGAAAUAUUUAAAGUAAAAAAAGUCAAUACAUAAAAUUAUUUGUAACCUAAUAAUCUAAAUUAAAAUAACUCUACAAUUCUAAAAUUACUUCAACACUUAGUGUUUCAUUUUUAACUUUUAGAUGAUAUCUUGUCCACUGAAUGCAAAUUGCCUUCAUUGUCUCUGAUUCCAAUGGUCUUGGAUUAGUAAAAUACUGCAUGAUAUAAUGCAAAUUGCCUUCUUGUCUUCUUCGACGUAGACGAGGAAGGUGUUGUUGACUC
rnacentral:lncRNA from 1 species